UAUCUCUGUAGAGUCUGCAUAUCAAUAAGCGGAGGAAAAGAAACUAACUAGGAUUCCCUCAGUAACGGCGAGUGAAGCGGGAGGAGCUCAAAUUUGAAAUCUUCAAGGUUCUACCUUGACGAAUUGUAGUUUAAAGAAGUGUUUUCUGUUGAAGUUUUGGUAAAAGUUCUUUGGAAUAGGACAUCAUAGAGGGUGAGAAUCCCGUAUUUGACCAUUAUUUUCAGCUGUGUGAUACACUUUCAAAGAGUCGGAUUGUUUGGGAAUGCAGUCCAAAAUGGGUGGUAAAUUUCAUCUAAAGCUAAAUAUUGGCGAGAGACCGAUAGCGAACAAGUACCGUGAGGGAAAGAUGAAAAGAACUUUGAAAAGAGAGUUAAACAGUACGUGAAAUUGUCAAAAGGGAAGCGUUUGACACCAGUGUUGUUUUUCCGAAAAUCAAUUACGAAUGUUUUGUUUUUGAGAAGUUAUGACUUCAUCGGCUUGCUUCUUUCUUUACGAAACUUUCUUAAUGCACUUUUCGGUUAACAAGUCAACAUCAAUUUCUUUUGUUGUAAAAGGGUAUGAGGAAGGUGGCUUUCUUUUCGGAGAAAGUGUUUAUAGCCUUGUGCCUCUGCAAUCGGAGAGAUUGAGGUCUGCAGCGUAGAUCCUUCGGGGUUAGAUACAUUUGUGCUAAGUUAUAGCUUUUCAUAGACAACUUGUUGACUAUGUUUAGUCUUGUAGCUUACUCGCUUAUGCUAUUUUACCUACGCUUAGGAUGUUGAUGUGAUACUGCGAGCA
rnacentral:rRNA from 1 species